rnacentral:lncRNA from 1 species
GUGGAUGAUCAUAUUUUAUGAGUGAAAUAUAGUUGGCUUGCAGAUGUAUGUUAUAUAAAUACACAAGUUUUUCUCCGUAUCAAAUAAGGAAUUUUCUUUAUCCUUGAUAGUAAUGGCUGACAGCACCUCCCUGAAUAAUGAAACAAAAUGAUGGUGCACUUCGAGCUCAUGAUGUCGACGUUAGAGGCUCAACAACACGUUUAAGAAAAGAAAUUGUUUAACAACAAACUCAAAUGGAGGUUGUGCCAAUCAUAUGCAACAAACAGAAUUAAAAUAUCUCCAGUAAAAGUAUUAAAAGGAAAUUACUGCCCUGAGACUUAUGGGUCACCUUGUAUAUACAGGGUGAUGCCUCAAAAGUUAGACUCCUCUUUGAUGCCAUCUAGCCUCAGUUCUAAAAGUCUGACAGUUUUGUAAUUGGUACCAUUCGAAAGAACCAACAAAACCUACAAUUUGAGGUUGGUUAUGUUUUGUGUGAUGAAAAAUGUCCGAGCAAUAUUCAAAACGGUAGACGGGGGUCGAUCCCCUCCCCCACACAAGUCAAUCGCCUACAAGAAGAUCUUCAGAGUUGACGCUGUUCUGAAUCGGAGAAAUGAUCGCUAUUUGGCGGAAUCAAGAGCUCAGGUCGAAGGAACCUUCAGGACUAAACAUCCAGCUUAGGUCAAGGCCCUCAUGGUUGAAGACACGUUCCCCUUAGACAACAAUGUGUUUACCCAAGACGGAGCCCCGGCAUACAUGUCCAAGAAGGUAUAACAUUUCUAAAUGGAGAACAUGGCUCCCUUCUGGCUGGUAAACUUAUGUCCUUCGUUCUCAUCCGACGUGAACCCCCUGGACUUUGCUGUUUGGUGCGUCUUAGAGAGAAAGACAAACAAGAUUUCUCACUCAAAUGUCGAUGCCCUGAAGGCCGUGAUCACUGAGGAGUGGAAGUACUUGUCUUUGGAGGUCAUUAAGGCCAGCUGUGCUUCUUUUCGUCUCUGUAUUGAAGCCAUCAUUCAGAAUGGAGGGGGACAUAUUGAAUAAAAAGUGAAGAAAAUUGUUGAAUUACUAACUUUUGCGUCAAAAGGUUGCCAUAAAAAUGGCAUAAAAGAAUAUAUGUAGAAGUGAAAACAGCUUUUAAAAUUUUCUAAUUUUUGAGCCCUCACCUUUUAUAAGGGAGAAGGGAUCAACAAGAAAUUGUACUCCUGUCCUUUUGGAAACGGAACAAAUGUAAUCAUUAAUUAAUAACUUUUUACUUCGUUUAUUAAUCAAAAAGAAUACAUUGUGAAAUAGCCAUGAUGUAUUAAUUGAAACGGGGGAAUGGACAGCUGACAGCAAAGUCAGAGAGCCUUGAGAAGUUAAAAAAAAGUUGUUACUUUUUUCUCUUAAUUUCUUCUUUUUAUAUCCUAGUCUUUUUUCUUUUAAUGUUCCUUUUUUUUGUCAGAUGGAUUUUCAUUUGAACUAAGAAUCUUCUUGUUAGUCCAUUUAUUAUGUAUGAUAUAUAUUUCCUUCUCUACAAAGGACCGAGAUGCAACCCCGCACACAUUGAGUUUAAGAGAAUAUUUUUUCCCUGAGUGGGUUUUCCAUUAAGCUACGUAGUUCCAUCAGGAACCAUUUAUCAACCUUUUGCAACAAAAGGUACAAAUGUUACCUAUUAAAGGAAAAUAGACAAACAAUAUGAGCAA